GUCGACACAGAAGAAAAGAAGGGGAAAAAAAAAAACAAAAGAGAAAACAGAGCAGCCAAACAUGGCAGUGAUUUCCCUAGCCAAUAAUAUAUCAAGGCCUUUUCCUCAACCCCCUUCCUCAAUAUCUCACGGAUAUUCCUCUCGCAAAGUCUCCCGGGUCUGCUUCACCUCUGCCUUCAAAUUCUCCGGGGUAAUUAAUUUACACUAACACUCUGUUUCUUCAUCUCAUGUAGGCAUGUUUAAUUUCAAUGGAACUUAUAUUUUGAAUUUCAGGGUCGAAAUGCGUCGGAAGAGAACAGGGGAUAUUAUUCAAGGGUUGACAGCAGGGGAUAUGCCGACAAGAACUGGAGGAAAAAGGAACGAGACGUGAGUAGGAAGGCAAAAGAAACCGUGGAAGAUGGCCUGGAAAAAAGCAAGCAAAAAGCAGAGGAAAUCAAAGACGCAACCAAGGAGUAUGCACAGGGCGUAGCGCAGACGGUGGCAGAUAAUACAAAACAGGGAACAAACACAGCAGCCGAGACAGCAGAGAGCGCAAAGGAGAGAGCCAAA
rnacentral:lncRNA from 1 species